GAAAAGGAUGAACGACAAAACCCUAAUAAAACCCUAAGCACAACCGCCAUUUGUACAACCCUCUCUCUUCUUCACUCUUUUCUUCUCCUCCUCUCCCCUUAUUCUUCCUUCUUCGUUCUUCCUUGCUUUUCUCUUUUCCUCCUCCGGUGCUUCCGUUCCCCACGGUGAGAUCUUCUUUCAAUAAUUGUUCUGUUUUUUUUUGGAGCGGCUUCCCCCGCGUUCGCAGUCAUGGGCGAAAGAAAACGCAGCCGUCGCCUUCGUCUACGACUUCGGGAACCGUCGCCGUCGCAGCCUCCUCCAUGGCUCCACUUGUCGCCUUCGUCUGCCCCUGUCCGGCCGCCAUUUUUGUUGCAGUUGAAAAUUAAAAACGUCGACCCUGACGUGAAAGUACAGGAACCUCACGGCGCAGGGCAUUGACAACACUUGUGAAGACAAUUAUAUGGAGGUGCGUGGUGGAUAUGGUGGCUGCCAUGUAUAUUGCUGGUGUGCCAUAUUUGCUUAAUGUGUUCCAUUUGGUGCCCAGGGCUUAUGGGGGAGAAAUUUGUUAAGCAUAGGUAUAAAAAGAGACUUCCAUCACAUGGUGUAAAGCAAACUGUUAGACAGAUUACGAGAUGUUCUUUUCAAUGCCCCUCCUGUGUUGCAUUAAACUGCAAUGGAUAAGUAAGCUUCUAUGCUUAGUCAGUAUUUAUCUAUUUGAUUUUAUGAUUUUUUCUUGUACAAGGGUACCUGGGUCGACUAAUUACUAUCAUAGUCUGCUGUGGGAAAUGCAUUGGGUUGGUUUGAUUGCAGCCAGUUCUGGGAACUUUUUGUCCAUUUUUAGCCCUGUUAGGAAGUGACGAGAAGAUACGUCUGCCCGGUGCUGGCCUGCUUUUGAAAAUCUGUAUAGACUACUUGCAGAAGAGCUCUGUUAUUAGCCUUUUGGAGUACCAAGUAACGAACUUUAUGUGUAGUCGAUAAAGGCCCAUGACGUCAACUCACAGGCCAAAUGUUGUGGUCGCUCAGGCCAAUCAGAUAUUGCUACGCUGCUAGGCACAGACCGGAUUGGAAACGUGACGAGGCCCAAUAUCUGUUACAAAAUGGACAACAUGAGCACGGAUUGUCUGACAAGAGCAACAUGGACCAUGUCGGGGCAAAGGCUCAUAAUGUUUACUAGAGCCCAUUUCUCAGACUUGAGAGAUGUCGCCCGACAGCCAACAUGUGCACGUGCUGUCUCUCAAGAGCCGGAUAGGUCCACUUGUAGCGGUCCAGCAGCCAAUGAGGCCCAAUAUAUUAUAAAUUGUGCCAUUUGAUAGGCUCUAUUGCUUACCGACAGGGGCAGUUGCUGCCUGCCAAGAGCCCAACAGGCCAACGUACAACUGUCAAACAUUAUAAUCAAGCAAAUUGGACUCAA